AGCGCGGGGGUCAGAGGAAAGCUGGAGGCGCGGGUGGGGAACAUGUCGCAGUCGGAGCUCGGCAGGAAGUGGGACCGGUGCCUGGCGGAUGCGGUCGUGAAGAUAGGUACUGGUUUUGGAUUAGGAAUUGUUUUCUCACUUACCUUCUUUAAAAAAAGAAUGUGGCCAUUAGCCUUCGGUUCUGGCAUGGGAUUAGGAAUGGCUUACUCCAACUGUCAGCAUGAUUUCCAGGCUCCAUAUCUUCUACACGGAAAAUAUGUCAAAGAGCAGGAGCAAUGACUUCACCUGAGAACAUCCCAGCGGGAGGACAAGAGAAAUCAUGUUUAUUCCUCAGGAAUACUGAAGUGCCCUGGAGUAAGCUGCCAUUCUUCUGUAACAAUGUUAUCAGUAAUGCUUUAAACUCCAGCACCUUGUUAUGUAUUUGAAACCAAGUCUGUUUCUUGUUUUGUAUUUUCUCUCUGGAAGUUGUAAGGAGGUGGUCUUAAAUAAAUUAAACAAAAAUAGGAAAAAAAAAA